rnacentral:tRNA from 1 species
UAUAUAGUUUAAAAAAACAUUAUAUUUUCAAUAUAAAAUUAAAUAUCCAUUUUUAUAAA